CUCUCUCUCUCUCUCCUCUCUCUCUCUCUUUAAAAAAAAAAAAAAGAAUGGGUGCAGUAAUAGGUGAUAAAAUGGCUCCUCCACAAACCCAACAGCAAUUUUAUAGGCACCCAGAUGUGCAGGAACCCCAGGGAAGUGCAUCCAGGUUCAUGACAAACCCCCUUUCAGCCAGCAGGUUUCCUUUGGCUGGAGGGUUCCUGGCUGGCUCUCUCCUGGCUGCCCCUCCUCCCUCAGCUUCUGCUGUUCAGUGUGAACUGGAGCUUCUGGGAUGCACCUUGGCUUAGAGCCAGAAUCUUCUUGGAGAGGCCUCCUGUCCUGGCUCCCUGCCAGGCCUCAGGUUUUCAGAGAGAUUUUUCUGGGGAGACACUGGGCAGAGGGGCCUCGCUCAGCCUUCAGAACUCAAAGCACUCCAGGCUGUGGGGCCAGUCUUGCCUCCAGCCUCCUGCCCCACCCAGAAGUUCAUUUCCUGCCUGGGACACCCUGGACUGGGUUAAGGGUCUUUUAGCUCCAGUAAUUCAUGAAUCUUUGAAAAGCAGGCUCCUUACAAGAGGUGAGGAAUUGGCAGCCAGGAGAGCAUGAUGAGUCAUGAUGAUGGUUAUAGGGUCUCUUUCCUGAGAACCUUUGCUCUGUGCUAACACUUUGCAUACAUGUCUUCUUUGAGACUUGGCUCUUGGGGAGAAGAAAGAGUUGUAAAUAUAAUCUAGGUUCUGUACUUUUCUAAGCCAGUGUCAUUUGGGUGUUUUGCAUGGGGUAUGUCUCAAAAGCUAUAGUUCUUAGGUAGAAGGGCAUUUUAGGUCUCAGUGGGUUCUUAUUUCCCAGAGGCUUUGGGAAGCAGCAUGAGUUCACUCGGUUGCUAGAAAGUGCCUCUACAUUAUCUCUUACUUCAAGGUGGCAGUAUAUCUAGAGAAUCCAGAUGGGAAAGCUCAGUGCUGCGUUCCAGGGAGCCUUGGAGGAGUAGGAAGCAUUCCACCCAGUCCUGACCCGUCUCCUCAUCGUCAAUGUGCACCCUAGCCUUGUUGCACCUUACUUUGUAAAAUAUGGGGAGGCCCAAGUCUGCCAGCCUGUCUAUGAUGCCAAUGGAGUAUGGCUUCUCAGGGGGAGCUUGGCCUUUAUUUUCUGCAAUGCUCUGCCCCCUGAGGUAACACCCACUGUCCUCUGGAGGAGGAAAAGUGGUCCCUGUCCCAUCUUGUCUUGUACUUCAGCAGAGAAUGCCAGGCCUCUUUUCAUUUGCCCAGUUUGGCAGCACAGUACCUGCUAUCUCUCUGGGUCAGGAGAGGUGGCCAGUGCUCUGAAGGUACAUCAUUUCUUUGACAACUGCUGGGGAGAGGGAAAGUAAAAAAGGGAAUUUGAAGUUUACAGCCACCCUUGCCCUUUGAGCUUACAUCUUCCUGUAUCCCAUUUUAGUCCACUCUUUUCUAUUGUUGAAUCACGGACUCAGAGAUCACAGGAGUGUGAAGCAGAGGUAGUGUGGUUCAAAGGGCGACAGGCUCUGGGGUCUCUCUGGCCUAUAUGAGAACCCAUGGGCACACUAAUUCUCCUUUCUGAGCCAGUUUGAGCAAAGUUAGGGAUAGUAAUACUUACCUUGUAGCACUCAAGAAAUAUCACUUUGGGUUAGGAAUCUGGCUCAGUGGCAGAACAUUUGCCUAGAAUAGUUAAGACCCUGGGUUUGAUCUCUAGCACUGCCCCUUCCCCCUAAAAUGAAAGAACCUCCAGUUUGAAUUCUCUAUCUCACUGGUGUGUCAUAGAGUAAAGGCCCUGGAAGUGAGUGGGCAAGGGACCCAGCUCAGUCAUGGUGUUUAUUGACCCUGGGUAAACUCUGGUGCAGGUAGAAGCCUUGACCUGCUCUCUACUCUCUAGGAACAGAGAAACUAGUGGGAUGCAUAGAUUCAGGGGUAGAUUGUUUUGAUUCAGGCCCUAGGAGUUAAGGUGGAGGCAUCAGUUUGACUCCCUAUAUCUACUAAGAUCUUCCACAUUGUCAAGAGAGCGGGACAGAGGAUCUCCACUGGGAGGAAAACUCCCUGACCAGAGUUCAGACGUCUGACCAGGUUCAGACGUCAGAGUAGAGUGCCAGGGAGGAGACCUGAUGGACUGCUUUUGAGAUUUAGGUGCAGAAUAUCAGGUCAGAUGGUUGAGACUGAAAAUGACAAGGUAGGGAGCCAACUAAGGGAAUCAGUCACCAUAUGCAAGAUGGGUGGGCAUGGAGGAUGCCCAGGCCCUAAGCCACUCAAGUCAGCUGGAGCUGAGUAGGCACACCCACCUUAGGCCUGUCACCUCAUGGCUCUUGGUCUGGACAGUAGGUCCAGACUGGGCCAGAGAGCCAUUUCCCCGUUUGCAAGAGAACCAUGGAGCUUAAGAAUUGGAAGUCUUCCCAUGCCACAUUGUAUUUUUUCUACCACACUCAUUUAUUCAUUCAACGUUUAUUGACUGCACAUUAUGUGUCAGGCAAAGCCUUGGGGACACAGAGGAGGAAACCACAGUCCCUGGUCCAGCACUUUAGCUGUAAUAUAGAAUUUCAUAUAUUCAUCCAGAACAGGAAAGCUGGGUUAGCAGGCACUGGGGGGUGUGACAGUUAUCAUCAGUUUGUGGACUUCUUGCCUUCCCUGCCCCUCUUCAUGCCCCAAGAGCCUGGGAGAACAGGGUCAGAGGCCAUUUCAUGCUCUUCCCAUUGUGACCUUACACUGUUGCUUAGCUUCAGCUAAAACUUUAAUUCUCUAGAUCUUGCCAAUUCUAUAUACUUUCCCUUUCUUCAUUUAAAAACAUUUUUCCCCCUGGGGAUUAAACCCAGGAUCUCACACAUGCUUGGUAAGCACCUUACCACUGAACUACAUCUCUGCCCAACUUUGAUCUUAAGAAUCAGAAUAUCAGGGGGCUGGGGAUGUGGCUCAAGCGGUAGCACGCGCGCCUAGCAUGCAUGUGGCCCGGGUUCGAUCCUCAGCACCACAUACAAACAAAGACGUUGUGUCUGCCGAGAACUAAAAAAUAAAUAUUAAAAAUUCUCUCUCUCUCUCUCUCUCUCUCUCCCACUCUCUCUUAAAAAAAAAAAAGAAUCAGAAUAUCAGUAAUCUAAUGAGAUUUAUAUGUGAGACAGGUAGAAAACAUCUAAAAUACAAUCACCUUUGGAUGGAUUCAUACACUGAAGGUUUCUUCUCCUUAGAAGAAAUCAGAUGCUGUUUGGAAAACCAAGACUAGAAUUUUACCCCAGUUCUAUUCAGGCUGGACUCUGGUACAAUUCUUUGUAAGCAGGCCUGCACAUAAGUUGGCAAUAGUAGGCCCCCACCUGCCUUCUGUCCACACAACUGGAGUUUUAGAGUUUUCCAUGUAGUCCGUGGGUUGGGGCGCAGUCCUGCAAAUGAAUCCACUAGUUCUAAAGCCCCAAUGCUGGGUCUGCCAUUUUAUUACUUGCCUUACAGGAGCAGGAAGGGUAAAUGGGUUUGUUACCAUUACUAUUACUACCACUACUACUAUUAGUAGUACUAUUACUACUAUUUUGAUGGUUUCAUUGUUGAGGUUGAUGUGUGUGUGUGUUAGUAAGAUAAAACACUUGGACAUCAUUACAUAGCAUUGGUUAAGGCAUCACUUCUGGCAACAUGGAAAGUGGUUCCAGACCUUUGAAAGGAACCACAGAGUUUUAGCCAAAAAGAGAAUCUGAGGGAAUUGUCCUUCCCUCAGCUUCAUUAUGGACUGAUCAGCUUCUAUCUGAGGGAAUUGUCCUUCCCUCAGCUUCAUUAUGGACUGAUCAGCUUCUAUCCGUGGGCAAGAUGAACAUACAUGGAACAGACUGUAAGCAGGUGAGUAGCAAGUAGGAAGACAUAGUAGUCUGGACUCUGCUUCUGAAACCUUUGACCUUUUCUUCUCUGGGAAACCCCACAGAGUCUAGUGAGGGUGACUUCCAGAAAGACAAUAUAUAUUCUUGGAUUCUGUGACAAUGAGCAGUGAUACAAAUGAGUGUCCAAAUGCUGGCUACGGGUGAGCCUUCUCUAUACAAGGUAGCUUAGCUCUCUUCUACUUCCCUUGCUGAGACCUCCUGCCCAUGGUUCACUGAAUGAAUGACACGUGCACACAGAUUGGCUUUGGAUUUAACUGUGGCAACCAGUUGACAGCAUGUGUUUCAGUCACGGGGCAGUGGUACAUAGACUCCUGAGCUAGAGGAACCAGUGCAAGAUUGUCCUUCUCCCUAUUCUCUUCUCCCUCUCAUGUGCCCUCUUUUCCAGAUUCAGAAGACAGAGAAGAGAGAAGGAGGAGCACUAUGGCAAGAGUCCAAAGGUGGGUCAUCUUUGGACCACAAGUGUGUAUUCACAGUUCUUUCUAGUAGCAUUUCUCAUUUCUCUGUGCAAUGUAUUGAUGUGGCUACAGAUGGAUAGUCCAAGCCAGAUUUGGGUCUUGGAUUACUGUUAUUUUUUUCUUCUUUUGGAAGAAAAAAAACUUAGUUUGGGGAGGACAUUAUAAAAUGAAAAUUGGGCUUGGAGACAGGCCUUUAGUCCCAGCUACUCUGGAGGCUGAGUCAAGAGGAUCACUUGAGCCCAGGAGUUGAGGUUAGCCUGGGAAACAUAGCAAGACCCUAUCUCAAAAUAAUAACAACAAGCAAAUUUUAAAAACAAAAAGAGCAAUAACCCUGCUUCUUAGAACCAGUUUCCUAUUAGGUUGACCCAUAUGAAUUUUUUGUUGUUGUUGUUCAAAAACAUUUAAGUAUUGAUUGUUUCAUAUAGUUCAACCUAGUACAUUUCCAUUACUCUGGGAAGGUGCCCAUUUUAAGGGGUCCCUGAGAUUUUAAUCAUUUGUGUUCAUCUUCAUCCUUCAAUAUCAUUCUCUGAAUUAUUUUAACAGUAGAAGGAAUCGUGGCAACCUGUGGGUUGUACUGCAAGAAACAGUUACCCCAGCAAGGGUCCACAUUGCCUCAACUUCAUGAAAUGUCAUCUUGUGACACAAGACAAUUAAGAUGAUGUUUGAGUACCCUUUUUUUCAUUAUUAAAAAAAAAAAAAUCUGGCUAGCUCAGCCAACCUUACCCUGACUAAGGACUGAGACCAGUUCCAAACUUUUUUUGUCUUGGAGGUAUUUGCUUCCAUCUGGCAUUCUUCCUGAAUGGGAUAUUACUUCACCUCCUACACCAGCAGCCGUCCUGGGGAUGGUGUGGUGUGCUGCCAUGCGGUGCUGUAAGGGGAGAAAGUUGCUGAAGUGUUGGCAACAGCCACACCAUAACCUUUUAGCCACCUCAGGGUGACUAUUAGGUUGACCCAUAUGAAAUUUCUGCCCAGUGUGGGGAAGCCAGCAGUGUGAGCUUUAUACUGAUUGCACUUGUAGUCCCACAUUCUUUACACUAUCAUCAGUCUAUAUGUCUGGGACUGUUAGUAUGUGUGUGUGUGAGAGAGAGAGAGAGAGAGAGAGAGAGAAUAAGGCUGUGAGUAUCUCUUUAUGGCAGCUCAGUAAAACAAGGAGCUGGAGAGCGGUGUUGGUAAUAAGCAAGACAUUUCAAAGCCCCAACUCUCCCCCUUGGGGGGCCAUCAUGAUGUGUUUGCCUUUCCCGGGGAGGGGGCCAUACAUAUACAUAUAUGUAUAUGUAUGGGGGUUUUGCCAUGCUUCUCAUUAUAUGGGGCUGCAUUCAAGUGGCUGGCCAGGUGUAUGAGAAGCUGCCUGACUGGGUGAGCCCCAUCUGCCAUGAGCUCACAGACUUGCCUUCCUGCCCGCCUUUCGUCCAUGGGGAGCCUGUCCCUUCGCAGCUCACGUCUCCUUUCUAAUUUAUUAGCUGGGAAGGAGGAGAAAAUGAAACGUUGCCUGAAGACAAUGGCCUAGACAGCAGGUUCCACCCUGCACAGCCGCCAACACCUCUCCCCCUAACCCUGCCUCCUCCUCUGCAGUUGGGUCUGCGCUUUAUUCUGCUAAGCCUGAAAUAAGAAAAAAAAAAAAAGAAUUUUAAAGUAUUCUAUAAAAACUAUUCCAGCCCUUGGUCAUGCAGAGGUAGCUGUAGACUGUUGAAGAUAGGAGAGGCCAAUAGGACAAAGAUUUGAGCCACAGUUUGUAUCAAAUGGCCAAUAAAUAUGAGUUCUCUCAUGGACUCUGGGCCCCCUAUCUCUGAGUCCCAGGACUUCUCCCCAGCUCCCAGUCAGGCAGGGGAGGGGAAAGGGGCCCAAGGCAGCUGCAGGGGCUGUGUUAGUAAACACUUUCCUGGGUUCCCAUUUUCUUCACCCCCCCCACCCUUCUCCACUCCCUGAUGCCCCUUACACAAUCCCACCCCCCAGCAUCCCCCUUUCUGUGGUCUGCACAAUGAGCUCAUUGUCCUGGGUGUGAUUUGAAUAAGGGAUCUGCGGGCCUGUUCCCAGCAUUGUCCAAGGGGCUGGGAAAAACCCCAGCGCAGGCAGGAGGACCAGACCAGACAGAGACAGAUGCCUAAAUUAGCAACAAAGCUUUGUGCAGGUCCCCCGGACAAGGGCUUGCCUUGUUUGCGUGGACUCGAGGGUGUGGAGCUGGCCGGCUGCUCACAUGUCUCCCCAUGUUAAUUAGUUUUGCAUGCAUGUCUGAGAAGGUGCCAGGGGAGAUGUGUUUGCCUUUCCCGGGGAGGGGGCCCUGUUUGUAGCUGGCCAGCAGGCUGGGGGCUGUGGAGCUGAGCAAAGCUGGGCCUACCUGGGGAGCCAGACUCUGAGAUUGGUUUGAGAAUCUCAGAUCCCCCAUCUUCUUGCUCUGUUUUUCUGCCCUUGGGGUAGGGGCUGACUUUAUUCCCUGAGCCCCCUCCCAUCCUACCCCUGCACAUCUGAAAGUUGGUCAGCUCUGACUAUAGGGAACUCACUGGCUUCUACCCAGACCCUGGCCAGUGCCUAUCCAUCUGGCGGUCUGUCUCUCGCGACACAGGGCCCCUUGGGACAGGACAGCAGAAGCGGCCAGUCUGGGCUCUCCUCUGUACCCGAGCCAGAUGGCCAGUCUGCUUAUCGCAUUACGACCUCCCAUGUCCCCAGACCCAUGCCACCCGUGGUGGGCCAGGAUCUUGUUUGGGAUUGUUUGGGAUAUGAUGGAGAAGCCUGCCUUUAAGCUUUUGGAGAGGUCUGGCCUGAAAAGAAAGGGGUCUGGUACACAGGGCACAAGGGGUGGCCUUACCACUCUGUGACCUCAGGCAGGCCACAUCCCCAAACCUCUGAAUCUCGGUUUUUUCCAUUGGUGAGAUGAUUGAGUUGAACUUCAGGAAUCUCUUGGUUCCCUCCUGGCCCAAAAAGUCUGUGAUGGUGGUGAUUCUUUCAAACCUGUGUUUGAUUUAGCGCUCUCUGAUUUACAUGGUGAAGGAGGGACAGUGAAUUCUGGCUAGAGGUGAUAGUGAGUAUUGCGGGAAGGAUUUCAUUCCUCUAGUGUGGGCCUGUGUUUUCAGAAUAGAUGGAGGAUCAGGAGCAGACAAGGCUUAUCUUCAGGUUCUUACAAACCUCCCUCUGCAGCAUGAGCCCUUCUUGUCCUGCCCUUAUGCUACAGUGGUGAGAAACAAGCUCUUGCCCAGCUGAAGGGAGCUAAAGGCAGUGGCCACACAGGAGAAGCUAAAGGGAGAGCAGCUGCUGUCCAGGGCCCUGGGUGUGUCCCAGUCGCCCCCUGCAGGCCCUGGGAUGGGGGACAGGGAUGCCUGCCAAAGCUGAGCUGAGCCAGACCUCCCAGACAACUUCCCAGCUAAUGCAUUCAGAAUCUCUCUACCUCUACAGCCCCUUACAGUAACUCAGGGAGUGAGGGGCAGGGGUGGAACAUUGUUCUUCUUGUUCAGGUGCAAGGACUCAGGAUUCAGUGGCCAGGGCAUUUGAUUCCUAACUCUUUGCUGGUCUUUCCCUGCUACUCAGCCCUGCUGGCCUUGCCCUCUUGUUCACACAGCCUCUAGAUUAAUUGGAAGCCUAAGCCUGGGAUUACUUACAGUCCAAAAUGUUGUAUGCCAAAGCUUCCAGUCCUUUUGUUGUUGUUGUUGUUAAUGGGAAUUGAACCCAAGGCGCUUUACUACUGAGCUUCAUCCCCAGGGUAACUCCUAUAGACAGAAGGGAACUUAAUUUAUUCUCUGUGUGUGCUGUAGGGAACGCAGAGGCUUGUACAUGUGAGGCAAGCAUCUACUACUGAGCUACAUACUCCCUGCUUUAUUUUGGUAUAGGAUCUCACUAAGUUGACCAAACUAUCAAACUUGUGAUCCUCCUGCUCAUAGCUGGGAUUACAGGUGUGUGCCACCAUGCCUGGCUACUAUGUAUGUGUUUUAAAUGAGUUAAAGUGCCUCUGGUUCUGAAAAUGUUGGGAUCUUAGAGAAAAGCUUCAAAAGCUGGGUUUUCUCUCCUGUCCCUUUGUCAACCUCCCCCAUCUCUGGUCUUCCCUUCCCUACCUUCUCAGAUGUGGUGGGAUAUACUUUGCUCUAGAGCCAGCAGCUGGCUAGAGGAACCCACAGGAAGUUCCAAGAUUAACUGUAGGUAGUCACUGGGCCAGCAGGGGAGGCAGGCCCCAGGACUUCUCUGUGGUGGGUAGUACCCUCCCCUCAUUGCUCCAUCCAGUUGUCCACAAGCAGCGCAUUCACUCCUCUCAACCUGGCCAUCUCUCCCCUCUCUGCCUCUCCCCAUCUUUCUUCUUUGGGUUCUGGGGGCCUCUUUCUUUGCCCUAUUACCUCUGUCCUUGGGUUGCUCCUCACUCAAGCUGGGUAUCUGGCAAUGAAGUCUAAAGCUUGAUGAAGAGCAGAGAGGUUAGAUAUAAUGAGAGAAAUGACCACAGUAGGGGUGGGGGAGAAGAGGCAGGGCCUUAGAGGAUCUGUCACCUGUCCUCCCUGUCCCCGACCAAGGUCUUAGCUGCCUCAGCUGUAGCUCUGAGCUCCUUAAUCUGGUGAUCAGUGCAGUGCUGGGGGGCGGGCUGGCAGAGGCUUUAGGAGGUAACAGGGGAUCUUAGGAGUCGCACUCUGCUAACGGAGCGUCACUGAGUAUCACACAAAGCCUGGGAAUCACAUUCCAAGCCCGGCUCUCCCUUCCAGAAGCAGCAGCCCCAGCUGGGCUAGACCCAGCAUGAGUGGUGCCUGGUAGAGGGCUGGGACUCAGGCCCUGCUUGCAGUUGGGCGUCACCUUGCUCUUUGUUCCUCAGGAGGAAAGUUUCCAAGAUUAAGGCUUUCCAGCCCUUUCUGCAUGGCUGAGGUUUUAUUGUUUGGUAGCUGCCCCCAACCUUGCCCAAGUGCUCAAAUCCACUGGCUGCCAAUCCCAGCUAGAAAUCAUUUGUACAUUGCAGGUAUUCAUUCCCCAGGUCAGCUAGAAAAAUGCUGUCAAGGUGAUCAGGGGAUGGAGAUUUAUUCUAGAACUAAGUGAGACUGCUGUAUAGUAUGCCUUCCUUAUUAGACGGAGCUAUCCUUAGAGAACCCAAGGAGUUCCGAAAUUGAGGCUAGGAUGCAGAAUGAAAGCCCACAUGAUUCUAAGGCUUAUCCCAGCAAGAUGAUGGUAGCUCAGGCCCAAAACUUUGGCUGGGGAGGAAGAGGUGCUGUGGGCAAGACCCAACCCAGAAUUACUGUGCAGUAUAUGUCUCAGAGCCUCUAUACCCUCAUCUGAAAAAUGGGAAUUGUUUUUACCUAUGGAGUUGCUGUGAGGAGUGUCAGAUACAUGGAUACCACUAAAUCGGGUUAAUAUUACUUCACUCUUUCCCUGAGAUAUAGGGCAGAUAUGAAGGAGGUGAAUUUCUAAAGGUCAUUUAGUAUAUCUGUGGUUUGGGGGUAGGGUGGGGACAGUAGUUAUAUUCAGAAUAUUUAAUCUCUGGUACAGCCUGGGCACCAACUAGUCAGAAUGGCAGCUGGUCCAAACCAUCAGCUCAGAGAGGAGGGCACAGCUGGGCUGAAAUAAGUUCAUUUGUCUUUGUGUCUUUCUGCUCCAUCAUGUGUCUGUUCAUCAGCAAGUAUACAGACAUCCCUGGAGGGCCGUUCCUGACUAGGUCACAGAAUGUGGGAUCCAGGGAUCUCCUCUGCAUUCUGAGCAGGUCAGACCUUCCUGGCACGGGGUACCCAGCCUGACUUGGCAGAGGGCAGUGAACCAAGGUCCUUCGUAGCUCCAGGCUCCAUGAUGGCUGCAGAGCUGCCACCAGUUUCUGUGGGGGUUUUCUACUUUGUUACCUGCCAGUAACCCUCCCGUCAUGGCCCUACCCAGCUCACAGGGAACUCAGCCUGCAUCAUCUCCUUCAAGCUGCACUGGGAUGGAGGAGGCACCUUUACCCAGAGGCUACAAAAAUGAAAGCCCACCUCACUGCUGGCAAGUGCUAUGAGACUAAUAUGUGAUCUGUCUUGAAACAAGGCUUUGGCCAGAAAGCAUGUCUCAGCUAGAUGUGUUCUCAUUCUCAGCCUCGAAUUGGGAUGUCUUUGCCUUCUCUUCUGGUUCUACAUGCUUUGAAUAGUGUUUUCCUGAGUGACCCUCCAGAUUGUCCUGUGAAGUAAAGUGAUGGUACAGCCUCUUUUCAGUUUUUAUGGAAAUGGAGACAGAGAGGAAUGGUGACUCUUGCCAAGGUCGCAGGAUUGGAAUAUGGAGCCAAACUGCCUCAGGUCAUAGAAGAUCAUCAGAAGGAGAAAAUCUGAGCAGGAAGAAAAGAGUCAGCUACCGCUUUAGGCUGUAAAAGUUGGAGGCAAGAAUGGAGGAAUCCCAGGCAAUCCUGCUUGUCUGGGACUUGCCAAGAGACCUGGGGAAUAUGACCCAACCCUUUUGUGGGGUCUUUGCUUUUGACCUAUUGGCCUAGUAUGUCCUCUACCAUUUCUGCCCUUAUCACAUCCUAUCAGGCCUGUUCACCCUGAAACAUUCUGGCCAGGCCUCUGGUAAAUGGAAGCUCUAUACCAUCUGCAUUUUCACCCCAAAGGACUGGAGGCAGUGUGCUGGGAAGUUGCCAAAGCAGAGGCUCCAGCCUUCUAGGAGUUAAUGACUCCUUCUCCCCAGCUGUCCUCCCUUUGGUGCUCCUCUUCCUCCCUCCUGCUCACAGCAGGCUCGGCCUGGACCCGGGAGCCAUGCUGCUGUGCUGUUGCCAGGGGAGCCCAGAGGCAGAUCUGAGCUAUGCAGGGAAAAGGCCCAGCCUGUCAAAGUGUCUGAGAUGAACCGCCACUGUCCCUGUGCAGCUGGGCUCAGACUUGUCUCGGCUCUUGUCUGUGCCUGAGAAUGGCAAAGCCCAGUGAGGUUCAAGGGCAAACUCGCUAUUCAUUAGUCAGGGGUUCUUGACGUCCUGUCUCUCCAGGGAUGGGUUCCCCCUUCCUCUCUCUCUCCCUCCUCUGAUACAUUCCUGGGUGCCUUUGGAGAGGACUACACACCCUCCUCUUGCCCAACCCCCUCUCCAUAGACCCCUGAAUAAACUCCCCUCAAGGAGACCAGGCAGGAUAGAGACAAUGGCUUCAGGAAAUCAUUCAGGCGGGACCCCAGCCACUCUGGCCUGCCUUCCACUCCCACAGCCCCUGUAGGCACAUUCUGCUUGUGACUCCAGCCACUCUGGGCCACCAGCCUGCAUAGGCCUGGAUGGGAAGAGACUACUGGGCACUGCCCUAAGGACAACAUUCAGUGCAAUGCCAUUCUCACUGGGCUCCAGGUAUACAUUUAUCUCCCUGGCUGGCUGCUAUAUUUCUGUAACAUUGUGUGUCUAUUUAAAGACACUCUUCAAUGCUGUUUUUAGGAAGUAUAUUUUCUAAAAUGUAGCAGUAUCAAAAAAUAAAAGGCAGUAGUGCAGGCCUGUAAUUCCAGCAACUCAGGAAGCUCAGGCAGGAGGAUUGCAAGUUCAAGGCCAGCAUCGGCAACUUAAGAAGACCCCAUCUCAAAAAAUUAAAAAGAGGGCUUUCAUGCACAAGGCCCUGGGUUCAAUCCCCAGCACCAAAUAAUAAUAAUAAUAAUAAUAAUUAAAAGGGCUGGGGGGUCUAUCUCAGCACUCCUGGAUCUAAUCUUCAGUACUGGGGAAAAAUAUAAAAGGCAUAUAUACUUGAACACAAA